rnacentral:tRNA from 1 species
AAGGCUUUAUCUUAAUUAAAGAAUUUGAGUUGCAUUCAGAAGAUGUGAGUAAAUGUCUCGCAGGUCUUA